GUAGAUAUAGUUUGAAGAAUAAAAACAUUAGAUUGUGGUUCUAAAAAUAGGGGUUAAAACCCUCUUAUCCACC
rnacentral:tRNA from 1 species